CGUGUAGGCGGCCUGUUAAGUGGCGUGUGAAAACCCACGGCCCAACCGUGGGAAGCCGCGUCAGACUGGCGGGCUUGAGGGUGGCAGAGGGUGGUGGAAUUCCCGGUGUAGCGGUGAAAUGCGUAGAUAUCGGGAGGAACGCCAGUGGCGAAGGCGGUCACCUGGGCCAUCCCUGACGCUGAGACGCAAAAGCUGGGGGAGCGAACGGGAUUAGAUACCCCGGUAGUCCCAGCCGUAAACGAUGCUCACUAGGUGUUGGGGGGUUACUCCCUCAGUGCCGCAGCCAACGCAUUAAGUGAGCCGCCUGGGGAGUACGGCCGCAAGGCUAAA
rnacentral:rRNA from 1 species